AGGAAGGGAUAUUUGUAAUUAUUCCAGGUGGUUCGAAUUUGCAGCCAGAAUGGGAAUCACUGUAUCUUCUUUACUUCAAUGCCUGCUUUCUCUUAGCACGUUCUUGCCACAACCCUUCAUUCAUGACCUUCUCAGUCCAUUUGUUCAGCUUUGGCCUCUCCAGUCCAUUAUCUCCGCACUUCCCGAUUUGGAUUCGCAGGUCCGUUAGCCCUGAGCGCUCCAGCAGCCAUUGUCUGGUCGGUGGACUGGCUCUCCGCGGGUCAUUCACUCACCUUUCCCACUCUGGAUUCCCAAGAAAGGGAAUUGAAACCAUUGGCUCCUAACCAGUCUGUGUCUGGGUGGGGCUUUGCAGCCUCAGGUCCUCUCUCAGGUUACUGGCCACCCUGUCCCCUACACUGCUAGUUAGGUGGUCUAACCAGGGCUGAGGGGCACUACAGGAACCCAGGAACAAAAUGUGCCCAGGGGAGGGCUGUGGAGCAGGCAGUUUCCCCUACACUGACUUGCCCAGUCAGCCGGCACCUCAGGGAACUUUGGGUUUUCCACUGGAAAACCGCACACUGUUUUUAAAACGACACUGAGCUCAGAAGACCUCUCAUGUGAACCUAGCACUUUCCACAAGCAACACUUAAUCAAAAAGCUAGGAGGUGGCUACAUCCGAUGCAAUGCUAUACUCUAGCCACUGGGAUUAAACACGUUCUUCUCGUUUUCUAAUCCGUCAAUUAAAAAAACCUGUGAUUCCUCUCCCAA
rnacentral:lncRNA from 1 species